UACGUAGGUGGCAAGCGUUGUCCGGAUUUACCGGGCGUAAAGAGCGCGCAGGCGGUCGAUCAAGUCGCGUGUGAAAGCCCCCGGCUCAACUGGGGAGGGUCACGCGAUACUGAUCGACUCGAAGGCAGGAGAGGGUAGUGGAAUUCCCGGUGUAGUGGUGAAAUGCGUAGAUAUCGGGAGGAACACCAGUGGCGAAGGCGACUACCUGGCCUGUUCUUGACGCUGAGGCGCGAAAGCUAGGGGAGCAAACGGG
rnacentral:rRNA from 1 species